rnacentral:sRNA from 1 species
UGGUAGAUGCACCUUGAUCUUCGACUCCCCUAAUUGGCGAAUGCUCAUUAGGGGAUUUUUUU